rnacentral:pre_miRNA from 1 species
UUUACUCUAAUUUGUAUGGAGUUGGAUCGUUUGUCUACGUUUGCCGCUAGGGGCGUAUUCCAACUGCAUACAAACUUGAGCUA